UACGAAGGUCCUAAGCGUUGUUCGGAAUCACUGGGCGUAAAGAGAGCGUAGGCGGCGUGGUAAGUCAGAUGUGAAAUCCCGGGGCUCAACCCCGGAACUGCAUCCGAUACUGCCAUGCUAGAGGAUUGGAGAGGUAGCUGGAAUUCUUGGUGUAGCAGUGAAAUGCGUAGAGAUCAAGAGGAACACUCGUGGCGAAAGCGAGCUACUGGACAAUUCCUGACGCUGAGGCUCGAAGGCUAGGGUAGCGAAAGGG
rnacentral:rRNA from 1 species